rnacentral:rRNA from 2 species
AGAAGGUUACAACAAAGAGUCCCUCCCGACUGUUUACCAAAAACACAGCACUCUGCUAACUCGUAAGAGGAUGUAUAGGGUGUGACGCCUGCCCGGUGCUCGAAGGUUAAUUGAUGGGGUUAGCAUUAGCGAAGCUCUUGAUCGAAGCCCGAGUAAACGGCGGCCGUAACUAUAACGGUCCUAAGGUAGCGAAAUUCCUUGUCGGUUAAAUACCGACCUGCAUGAAUGGCGUAACGAGAUGGGAGCUGUCUCAAAGAGGGAUCCAGUGAAAUUGUAGUGGAGGUGAAAAUUCCUCCUACCCGCGGCAAGACGGAAAGACCCCGUGGACCUUUACUACAGCUUGACACUGCUAUUUGGAUAAGAAUGUGCAGGAUAGGUGGGAGGCUUUGAGUAUAUGACGCCAGUUGUAUAUGAGCCAUUGUUGAGAUACCACUCUUUCUUAUUUGGGUAGCUAACCAGCUUGAGUUAUCCUCAAGUGGGACAAUGUCUGGUGGGUAGUUUGACUGGGGCGGUCGCCUCCCAAAUAAUAACGGAGGCUUACAAAGGUUGGCUCAUAGCGGUUGGAAAUCGCUAGUAGAGUAUAAAGGUAUAAGCCAGCUUAACUGCAAGACAUACAAGUCAAGCAGAGACGAAAGUCGGUCUUAGUGAUCCGGUGGUUCUGUGUGGAAGGGCCAUCGCUCAAAGGAUAAAAGGUACCCCGGGGAUAACAGGCUGAUCUCCCCCAAGAGCUCACAUCGACGGGGAGGUUUGGCACCUCGAUGUCGGCUCAUCGCAUCCUGGGGCUGGAGCAGGUCCCAAGGGUAUGGCUGUUCGCCAUUUAAAGCGGUACGCGAGCUGGGUUCAGAACGUCGUGAGACAGUUCGGUCCCUAUCUGCCGUGGGCGUAAGAAGAUUGAAGAGAUUUGACCCUAGUACGAGAGGACCGGGUUGAACAAACCACUGGUGUAGCUGUUGUUCUGCCAAGAGCAUCGCAGCGUAGCUAAGUUUGGAAAGGAUAAACGCUGAAAGCAUCUAAGCGUGAAGCCAACUCUAAGAUGAAUCUUCUCUAAGCUCUCUAGAAGACUACUAGUUUGAUAGGCUGGGUGUGUAAUGGAUGAAAGUCCUUUAGCUGACCAGUACUAAUAGAGCGUUUGGCUUAUCUUAUAAA